GACGAACGCUGGCGGCGUGCCUAAUACAUGCAAGUAGGACGCAGUUGCGAACGGGUGAGUAACGCGUAGGUAACUACCUCUUCGAGGGGGAUAACUAUUGGAAACGAUAGCUAAUACCGCAUACUAGUAGAUGGACCUACGUUGUAUUAGUUAGUAGGUAGGGUAAUGGGCUACCUAGGCAAGGAGACAUAGCCGACCUGAGUCGGUGUGCGGCCACACCUGUACGUGGUCACGGCCCAGACUCCUACGGGAGGCAGCAUGAGGGAAUCUUCGGCGAUGGGGGGAACCCUGACCGAGACACGCCGGGUGAGGUGAGAAGGUUUUCGGAUCUUAAAGCUCUUGUGUUAAGGAAGCGGUACUUAACCAGAAAGGGACGGCUAACUACGUGCCAGCAGCCGCGGUAAUUC
rnacentral:rRNA from 1 species